AUCGGCGUCCGCAUUGUAAUCUCAAGAAGUGUUUUCCGCUUCGGACCAUGCCUAAGUCCCUUGGAAAAGGGCAUCAUAGAGGGUGAUAAUCCCGUACAUGGCAGGGAGCGCCCGAGGCUUUGUGAUACGCUUUCUAAGAGUCGAGUUGUUUGGGAAUGCAGCUCAAAAUGGGUGGUAAAUGCCAUCUAAGGCUAAAUAUUGGGGAGAGACCGAUAGCGAACAAGUACAGUGAUGGAAAGAUGAAAAGAACUUUGAAAAGAGAGUUAAACAGUACGUGAAAUUGCCAAAAGGGAAGGGUAGGAGGUCAGAGAUGCGUCUUGGGAUUCAGCCUUGCUUUUGCUUGGUGUUUUUCCCAAGUUGCAGGCCAACGUCGGUUUUGGGCACUGGAGAAGGGUGGAAGGAACGUGGCACCUCUCGGGGUGUGUUAUAGCCUUCUACUGGAUACAGCGACCGAGACCGAGGACAGCAGCGUACUCGCAAGAGCGGGCCUUCGGGCACCUUUACGCUUAGGGCGUUGGCAUAAUGGCCCUCUACCACC
rnacentral:rRNA from 1 species